AUUGUGAACGACACCAGACACAGUGGACAAUUCUGAUCAUCACAUCUGUUCUGCUGAAUGUGCUUUUGAUCGUUGCAGUAAUAGGUUUGGUGAAGUGCUGUCUUGAUGCAACUAGAAGAUCUAAAGAUACUUCAGAGAAACCUCAAAGUUCCACAGCAGCUCAAAACACAAAUGAUCCACAAUAUGCUGAAGUUCAUUUCAUCAAGCGCCGAAGUCGACACAGACCUUGUAAGGACGAGACCACCUACUCUGUUAUACAGCCAGUAAAAACUGUAUAAAAUAUUAUUCAUUCAAGAAUUAUCCCUAUCGUUUUUGAAAAUUGUAAUAUUUUUGUGUGCUGAGAUGUUCAUGCUAGCAGUGAGAAUUAACACAAACCACUAAUUAACGUAGUGAGGUUUUUCGCGUGUUAGAGGCGAUGCUUACAGUAUUGUGUAGUUUUGUGCUACUUCAUCUUGCAGAAAUUUGGCAUACAGCUGGAGUGUAAAUCACAUGAUCAAAGCUUUAUAAAUAUAGUAAAU